GAAUAUGCAUCUGUAAGCAUAUGCAGAACUUUUUAUUCUUUUCUAUUUCAUUGCUAGUGUAUGUUAAAAUUAAAACAAAACAAAACAAAACAAACAAAACAAAAAACCUUCCAUUGAUAUCACUGGCCCUGACUCAAAUCUCAAACUAUUGGCUUUGUUUUAGUUUUCUUCUGUCUGUGUCUAUACAUGUUUCUCAGGUGGGUAGAAAGCUGACUUCCAUUACAGCUAAUGGACUCACAGAUUUUGUAAGUCUCUUUCAUGUGGCAAGUUUUGCACCAAGUAGGCUACUAUCAUGGCUGCCUAAGGAUUUGGGACUCUUGAGAGAACCAAGGCAGCAGGGUGGAGUCACAGGGGGUUACCUUUACACAUUGUUUUCAAAAUACUCUGUGACUUGAGCAUGUAUCUUUAUUUGGCCUAACAAAAGAAGGAAUUAUCUGUAAUAUUUCAUCAAUAAUGCUUGUAAAUCCUACUUCUAUAAUCACAUCUAAACAGUGAUAGAGUCAGAAUAACUGAUCAGAAAGGAACUAACUAAUCAUUACAAGCAGUAGCGUUGGAGGAGCAAACAGCUUCGAGUUUCUCUGUGGAGCUGAGCGUCCUUUCCUGGGCUAGCCUGUUGCCGUGUCAUGUUUUUUUGUAGGACUAUUAAUUAGUUCAUUUUCAUCACACUGUCAUAGCAUCCAUGUUCUUUAUUUCACAGGCUAUUCUCAUGUGAAACACUUUUCCUGGGAUAAAUAUUUAGAAGAAACCAAUUCUUUACCUGCUCCUGCAAGAGCUUUCAAAGUGGUGAGUGAAUUUGCUGUGCACUGUUUGAUAAACAUGUACUCAUGACGACACUGUUUAUCUGUGGACGUCUAAGAAACUGAUCAGCUGACUUAGCCAUGAGGAGAAAGUGAAGAGCGAGGAAGAUGCUUCCAAAGCCUUUUGAUUCUGAGAAUUAACAUUGUUACUGUGUUUAUGUAUGUGGAUACAAAUGUGUCCUGUUGGGGAGGAGGCAGGCCUAGGAACAGGGCACAGGAGAACCUUGACUGCUUUUCCUCAGAUGCUGUAACUUGCUGGUUAGGCUAGGGUGGCUGGUGUGAGCCACAGGGAUCUGCUUGCCUCCACAUCUCCAGCUGGGGUUACAAGGGUGCGCACCGUGUUUACUUUAUAAAUGUGGGUUCUAGGGAGUUAACCUGCAAGCUGAGCACUUUACCAGUGGAUCUAUCUCCCCAGCCCCUCAAAUAUAUUGUUUUAUACUUCAUAUUUUCUCAUGAAUUUAAUGGGUAAAAUAAAUAUACUAAAUAACUUUGUAAGACUCAGGCAUUAGAUACAUGUUUGUAUUCCUCGUAUUUGAGAGGUGAUUGGGGAGCAGCACAAUUCAAAGCCAGCUCAGGCUACGUACAGAUAUUCUGUUUCAAAAACAAAAUAAUAUAGUCUUUUAAACAUGGCUUUGUCUUCUGUAGACAGUUGUCUCCUUUAGAUGAUACUUUCAUACAGAAAUUAUUAAUUAAUGAUAGACUUAACCAGUAAGAACAGUUCACAAUAUAGAUAGAAGGAAUAUCAUGGAUUUUUUUAAGAGGAAAAAUCAUAAUAAUGGAGAGAAAGCUUGAGCGAGAGUUUCUAUGAUACCACGUGACAGACAGAUGGCGAAGCUUUAAGCAAGGUAGGGCUGGCGGGCUGCGGUCUUUGCUGCCUGCUCUCAACCCUUCCAGUGUUCGGGGUUUUAACCAGAUACAUGGGCAGCCCACAGCCUGCGUGUCUGCUGUUACGUGAGAGGGUGAGAGGUAGGACGUAGAUUUUUUCCAGAUGGUUGGCAAGAGUCGCGUAGCAGUGAGCGUUCUGCUCAUCACGUUACUUUAUAUAACACACCAGUGCCUUGUGGAAAAUUCGCCUUUUCUUCCUCGGCCUAUGACUUUCUCAGAAACUUAGAGGUUUCCUCUGAGUGUUAAGCCCACCAUGUUCAGAUGGAUUGCCAACUUGUUUUAAAUUAUCUUUUUCCCUUCCCCUAUUACCACUUCUAGGUGCUUCGUAAUCAGUCACUUUGUUUUUCCAUCUUUUCUAAAAACAAAUUUUACGCCUAUUGCUUUUACCAUGGCACCUUGGCCAGUAAGGAAAAUGUCUGGUCUAUUUUUGUGGUUGAUCACAUGGCUACAGUAUCCCUGCCUCUCUCUUUCUGUCUGCUCUUCAGCUAGGCAGAAGGCUGUCCUUCUGUAUGUGUGUUUUGACCGGAAAGUGUCACUCACUGCUAGGCUGAGAACGGGUAACCUAAACAGUUCAGCUGUUAACCUGUUGUUACCAGCCUGCCUCUCCUCACUGUAGCAUCUUUCUUGUAUGGCAGAAACCUCCACAUGGAUUCCAGAAGAAAAUGAAGCUGGAAGCUGUGGACAAAAGAAACCCGCUGUUCAUCAGAGUAGCAACUGUAGCCGACACGGAUGACCACCGGAUAAAGGUAGGCCUUGUUCUGCUCUGGAUUGCUCGCCUUUGUUCAUCUACACCUUAACUGGAAACUUUCCUAGACAGCGACCUUCAUCACUACAAUUAAAUUAGUAAAAUCAAAGGACUAUGCAAAGUGGCUCUGCUUCUUUGUGGGUUUGCACCCAUCCAACUUUUUCCUAUAAUUGCCCCCAAGAUAUUUUCUUUUUAACUAUGAGGGUAGUUUAACAUUUUAAAUGUGUACCGGAGAAAGUAGACACAACAUAUUAGGGUAACAUUCUCUUUAAGAAGGAAAAGAACCCAGGUGGUGAUGAUGGCACAGGCCUUUAAUCCCAGCAUUUAGAAGGCAGAGCCAGGUGGAUCUUUGUGAGUUCUAGGGCAUCCAUGGCUACUGUAGAAAGGCCUGUCCUG
rnacentral:lncRNA from 1 species